rnacentral:misc_RNA from 1 species
AGAGAAAACUAAUUAGUCCUGAAGACAUAAAGCAAGCAUUGUUUAGAACUGCGGGUUAUGGAGGAAGAUGUCUUUAGAAGGAAUUUGGCCACUUGACAGAGCCUGAAAGAGAUGGGAACUUAGCUAAGUUUGAUCUGCAAGGAAUUUAAUUUGCAAGUGAGAAGUUGUAAUAAAUGUAUUUUAAUAAGUGUAUGUUCAUUUAUAAUCUCCUUCUCACAACUUAGCCCAUCAUAGAGGGCAUUAAAUUAUAUAU